GAUGUGAAUGAGAAGCAGACAGAAGGAAAAAAAAAGGGGGUUUGCAGGCAGUAUAGUCCACUGGAAAUGCGUGGAGUUAGAAUUUGCUUUGUUUCUAACGUCUUUUCCACAAAGCGAGAGCAUUUGAAAAAAAUACAGUCAAAACUUGGUGCGAAUGACUAUCCGUCAGCAACGUUUGGAGCGCUAGGAACGUCAUUUUCUAUUUUUACGACGGGAUCAAAAUGUGUAACCUUCGGUAACUUCCGACCGCAGGUGCUCUCUCUUCACGGAUCUUACGCACCUGCUCGGAACUCGCCACAUCCAAACAACUGCCCCACCCUGCGGCGAAUGGGCUAGUCGAACGACUACACCGUCAGCUGGAGGUGGCACUCACUGCCCGUGCUGACCCUGCACACUGGAUCCAACACCUUCCCUUCGCACUGCUGGGCAUCAGAGCCGCCAUCAAGAAAGACGUUAGCUGCAGUUCCGCUGAGUUCGUGUAUGGCUCUCCACUCCGACUCCUCCCAGUUGGUUUUGCGCUCCCAAAAGUGUACAACCUUUUCCAAUGUGGAAGAGAUCCUUCAUUCUGAGAUGCUUGCAACACUCAUCCUCAGUAAAUUCGAGAGACAGUGCAUUUCACACAAACGCAAAGAAACCACAGCGUGUGCUUUUUGACAAGCCUCAUUCAUGCAAGGUCCUGAGAGUGGACUGUGUUCGAAUGAUGUAAUAAAACAAGCAAAAUGUUAAACUUUAAAGGAGGUAUUACAGUCAGAGAACUAGGCGAUUGAUGGCAAGGGGAACUAUAAUCAGUGUACAAAUAAAGCACUACCUACAACUG